rnacentral:rRNA from 1 species
AUUGAACGCUGGCGGAAUGCUUUACACAUGCAAGUCGAACGGCAGCACGGACUUCGGUCUGGUGGCGAGUGGCGAACGGGUGAGUAAUGUAUCGGAACGUGCCCAGUCGUGGGGGAUAACGUAGUGAAAAUUACGCUAAUACCGCAUACGAUCUAUGGAUGAAAGCGGGGGAUCGCAAGACCACGCGCGAUUGGAGCGGCCGAUAUCAGAUUAGGUAGUUGGUGGGGUAAAGGCCCACCAAGCCAACGAUCUGUAGCUGGUCUGAGAGGACGACCAGCCACACUGGAACUGAGACACGGUCCAGACUCCUACGGGAGGCAGCAGUGGGGAAUUUUGGACAAUGGGCGAAAGCCUGAUCCAGCCAUUCCGCGUGCAGGAUGAAGGCCCUCGGGUUGCAAACUGCUUUUGUACAGAACGAAAAGGUUUCUACUAAUACUAGGAGCUCAUGACGGUACUGUAAGAAUAAGCACCGGCUAACUACGUGCCAGCCGCCGCAGUAA